rnacentral:tRNA from 1 species
GAGGGUAUGGCUCAAGUGGUAGCGCACAUGCUUGGCAUGCAAGGGGUCCUGGGUUCAAUCCCCAGUAACUCCU